ensembl:lncRNA
AUGACAGAAUUAAUAAUGAUUUGCUUUUGUUAUAUGGAAAAGAGCAGCUUGGACAUUCUGCAAAACAUCUCAUUUGUUGUUCACCUGAAGAAAGAAAAUCAAACCAGUUUGAAACAACAUGAAGGGAUCGUGGACUUACACUUCGUUUGUCAUCUGAAAGGUAAAGGAGCAGAGCAGGAGAGGUGGGAAAAGAAAAAGACCUAUAGAGACUCUCACCUCUGCAUCUCCCUGCGGAGGUCAAAUGACGGAGAGAAGCUGAGGAGCUCAGAGAGACUUCUGGAGCACUGGCUCCAUCCCUGCUCCCAAAAUCAGCCACGACAAAGUGUCUGGGAUACACGCGUCCCCGCUGUAAACGACACCAGUGUCUAAAAGCCUGCUUUAGGGUGAAGAAGGAGAGCAGAAGAUGGUGUGAAAGCAGAAGUGGAGGUGUGCGUGGCUGCAGAUCCCUGGAGAAGAUGCUGUGAAGCUCUCCGCUCGCUUCACCUCCGACUGACAUCACGGCCUGGUCACACACACAUACACACUCCUGAACAUCCUUCCAAAGACAUACUCACUCACUCUCUGGAAGGUAAUGGUGUGUUGGUCUCCGGGGUUCAGGGUGUUGUUGAACAUCUUGCAGGUUAAAUGCGCUCUUAAAGACUCACUUCUCAACCUGAGCAGAACCCAGAGACACACGACCGGGUCAAAAAGUACAACAUUUAAAAAUACAAUCAAAAUAGAUAAAAUCAAGUCCUGUCCAACAUUAUUUCACUUUGACUACUGAAUUCAGAAUGAUUUCCAUAUUCAAAUUCUAUCAAAAAUAGUAAUAAUAGUUUGCUAGAAUGCAUAUAUUUUUUUUUUUUUUUAAAUUGUAAAUGUCACUUUAUCGAACAUAAAUGCAUUGCAAAGUGCAUAUAUUUGUUCAUAUUAUAUUUUUAUAUGCUUUGUUUUUCUAAAUAUAAAGGGUAAUUCACAUUUGUGUGUGUUGCUUUAGAUAGUACAGAUUGUUUAAUAGCAGCUUCACAGUAAUAAACAAGAGCAUGACUGUAUUAGUGUUACAAAGUUCUUCAUAUGUGAAAUUCUUUAAUAAAGGGCUU